UACAGAGGGUGCGAGCGUUGUCCGGAAUCACUGGGCGUAAAGGGCGCGUAGGUGGCGACCCAAGUCGAUGGUGAAAGCUCGCCGCUCAACGGCGAGUCGGCCACCGAUACUGGGUUGCUCGAGCACUGUAGAGGCUAAUGGAAUUCCGGGUGUAGCGGUGGAAUGCGUAGAGAUCCGGAAGAACACCGGUGGCGAAGGCGGUUAGCUGGGCAGUUGCUGACAGCUGAGAC
rnacentral:rRNA from 1 species